GGGGAAUAUUGCUCAAUGGGGGAAACCCUGAAGCAGCAACGCCGCGUGAAGGAUGAAGGUUUUCGGAUUGUAAACUUCUUUGAUUGGGGACGAAACAAAUGACGGUACCCAAAAAACAAGCCACGGCUAACUACGUGCCAGCAGCCGCGGUAAUACGUAGGUGGCGAGCGUUGUCCGGAAUUACUGGGUGUAAAGGGCGUGUAGGCGGGGAUGUAAGUCAGAUGUGAAAUACCACGGCUCAACUGUGGGGCUGCAUCUGAAACUAUGUCUCUUGAGUACUGGAGAGGAAAGUGGAAUUCCUAGUGUAGCGGUGAAAUGCGUAGAUAUUAGGAGGAACACCAGUGGCGAAGGCGGCUUUCUGGACAGUAACUGACGCUGAGGCGCGAAAGCGUGGGGAGCGAAC
rnacentral:rRNA from 1 species